AAUUGGGUUUGAGCCCGAACCAUGAUGGACAUGGGGGAAAGGUGGACACCUAAGUGGGUUAGAGUCCCAUACGGUGAAAGAUACCCUAAGUGGGUCAGAGUGCCAUACAGUGAAAAAUACCCUAAGUGGGUUAGAGUCUCAUACGGGUGACGAUCGCUUGAACUGGGGAUUAAGCCUCAUAGAGGACCCGAUAUACCGUGAAAGUCGAAUCAUGCGAGCAUGCAUAAAUCGAGCUUGGCAUAGACGUAGGUC
rnacentral:lncRNA from 1 species